AAGGGACCGUAAGGUCCCCUCAUUGGCUAGCCGGCCGGCGGCACAGCCGAUGUGGGGCAGCCAUCGACAGGAGGGGAGGCGAUCUGGUGGCAAGAGGAGAUCAAACCGGUGGUCAGCGGUGACCACCGACAUCGAAAAAAUGACAAAAAAAGAAAGGUUCUUCCACAACAAAAUCCAACGACUCCGGUCACCAGCGAGCAUGCACAUCGGCACGGGA
rnacentral:lncRNA from 1 species